CGUGGUCAUUACUUCGAUGUGUCUUGGCCUCUCCGUGGCAUCGUAUCCGGAAAGCGCCAACGUCGUGGCUUCAGCAAAGCCUGGCCCGCCGCUGGGCUGUGGACGAACGCGGACCUUGGUGUCCGUGCGCUUCCAGACCCUGGUGGUGCCUGGCCCAAAAUUG